rnacentral:rRNA from 1 species
GUGAAAGUUUCCAAGGGCGCAUGGUGGAUGCCUUGGCAACAGGAGCCGAAGAAGGACGUGGGAAUCUGCGAUAAGCCUGGUGGAGUCGAUAACCGGACGUUGAGACCAGGAUUUCCGAAUGGGGAAACCCCGCACGACGUGUCGUGUGACCCCCGGUUGAACACAUAGACCGGGUGGAGGGAACGUGGGGAAGUGAAACAUCUCAGUACCCACAGGAAGAGAAAACAAAAGUGAUUCCGUUAGUAGUGGCGAGCGAACGCGGAUGGGGCUAAACCGUAUGUGUGUGAUACCCGGCAGGGGUUGCAUGUGCGGUGUUGUGGGCCCCUCCUUGUCCUGUCUGCCGGCAUGGCGCAGUGAGGUGCGGGCAUAUAGACGAACCAGUGUGGAUGCUGGACCGUAGAGGGUGAGAGUCCCGUAGUCGAAAUGUGUUCCGCCGCUGUUGGGGGGUUGCCCGAGUAGCACGGGGCCCGAGGAAUCCCGUGUGAAUCUGCCAGGACCACCUGGUAAGCCUGAAUACUACCUGUUGACCGAUAGCGGAUCAGUACCGUGAGGGAAUGGUGAAAAGUACCCCGGGAGGGGAGUGAAAUAGUACCUGAAACCAUGUGCCUACAAACCGUUGGAGCCUCCUUGUGGGGUGACAGCGUGCCUUUUGAAGAAUGAGCCUGCGAGUUAGUGAUACGUGGCGAGGUUAACCCGUGUGGGGAAGCCGUAGCGAAAGCGAGUCUGAAUAGGGCGAUUGAGUCGCGUGUCCUAGACCCGAAGCGGAGUGAUCUACCCAUGGCCAGGUUGAAGCGCGUGUAAGAGCGCGUGGAGGACCGAACCCACUUCAGUUGAAAAUGGAGGGGAUGAGCUGUGGGUAGGGGUGAAAGGCCAAUCAAACUCCGUGAUAGCUGGUUCUCCCCGAAAUGCAUUUAGGUGCAGCGUCACGUGUUUCUUCCCGGAGGUAGAGCUACUGGAUGGACGAUGGGCCCUACAAGGUUACUGACUUCAGCCAAACUCCGAAUGCCGGGAAGUGAGAGCGUGGCAGUGAGACUGUGGGGGAUAAGCUUCAUAGUCGAGAGGGAAACAGCCCAGACCACCGGUUAAGGCCCCUAAGCGUGUGCUAAGUGGGAAAGGAUGUGGAGUUGCUGAGACAACCAGGAGGUUGGCUUAGAAGCAGCCACCCUUGAAAGAGUGCGUAAUAGCUCACUGGUCAAGUGAUUCCGCGCCGACAAUGUAGCGGGGCUCAAGUACACCGCCGAAACCGUGGCAUUCAGUUUUGCUGGAUGGGUAGGGGAGCGUCGUUCACGAGGUGAAGCCAGCGGGUAACUUCUGGUGGAUUGUGGACGAGUGAGAAUGCAGGCAUGAGUAGCGAAAGACGGGUGAGAAACCCGUCCGCCGGAUGACUAAGGGUUCCAGGGUCAAGCUAAUCUGCCCUGGGUAAGUCGGGACCUAAGGCGAGGCCGACAGGCGUAGUCGAUGGACAACGGGUUGAUAUUCCCGUACCAGUGAAGAACCGCCCAUGCUGAGCCGGUGAUACUAACCGCCCGAACCAUCCCGA